UACAGAGGUCUCAAGCGUUGUUCGGAUUCAUUGGGCGUAAAGGGUGUGUAGGUGGCGCGCUAAGUCGGGUGUGAAAUUUCGGAGCUUAACUCCGAAACUGCAUUCGAUACUGGCGUGCUUGAGGACUGGAGAGGAGACUGGAAUUCACGGUGUAGCGGUGAAAUGCGUAGAUAUCAAGUGGAACACCAGUGGCGAAGGCGAGUCUCUGGACAUUUCCUGACGCUGAGGCACGAAAGCCAGGGGAGCAAACGGG
rnacentral:rRNA from 1 species